AGGUUUCAGAUGGUUUUGAAGCUCUCCAGGUGAUUCCAAUGUGCAGCCACGCUUGAGAACGCCUGCCCUGAACUGUGGGAAAGUCACCAUUAACAAGCAAGAGAUCUAGGGUCCAGCCCUCACAGUAGCACACCAAGGCUGCUCCAGGCUCCUCUGACUGCCAGGGACCUGAUUUGGGGGCCAGGGAGCGCCAUGACAUCUCUGGUGCUAUUUGUGUCUGAGAACAGCUGGUCCAAUCUCUUGAGGAGAUGGGGCUGGUCAGGACCAAGUUACUGGGAGUUGGAGCAGAAGCCAAGACACAUGGUGUGCCACGUGGUGCCGUGUCCAUACCUGGGAUCCGAACCAGCAAACCAGGGGCCGCCGAGAAGCGGAACGUGCACACUUCACCACUACGCCACACGGCUGGCCCCUAAUAGAAGUAUUUUUAAGAAUAAUCUGACUUGCCUCCAGGUAACUCGUCCAAACUCUUUCGUUGGAAAAAUGGAGAAGGAGAAGAUGAGGCCUCAGAUCUCUCUAGAACAAUCUGCAGUCUCUGAAGUUUUAGUUAUUAGAUAGAAACAUUCUUUAAUGUCAACUCCACCAUUUGUUACCUGAGUUCCACCAGCCAGCUCACAUCGGGACUUGCUUGCUUUAUGCUUGCCAAAGUGACAGCAAAAUAGACCGUCACCAACUCUGCCAAGCUCACAGGCUAUAAAAGGAAGAAAAAAAUGAUACUUGGAUGGUCAAAAAGGAGUAGAGAAGAGGAACAACUGGCUUUGAAUGGUAGCCCGGAGCUCAGGUU
rnacentral:lncRNA from 1 species